rnacentral:lncRNA from 1 species
ACCUAUUUCUCUUCUUCUGAUUCCGUUCUCUCUCCGCAUGUGCUUCAUUAACUUCCCUCUCAAUUAUUAGAGCUUUAUUCACAACUGAGGCAUAAGUAGUUAACUCAUAGGGUACAACUUGUUUUCUAAUUUCUGUCUUCAGUCACAUUUCAAAUUUAUGUACUCUGUCUUGCUCAAUCUCAACUAAUCUUGGAACAAACUUAGCUAACUCCGUGAAUUUAGCUUCAUAUUCUGCAACGGAUCUGUUCUCCU